rnacentral:lncRNA from 1 species
UAUAUAUAUAUAUAUAUUCUUUUUAACCUUUUUGUCUACAUUCUCUUUGGAAUGUACUCUGUAGUGUGAUGUAUAAAUAUAGUUUCUCACAGGCAUUCUCAAUGACAACUUAUUUUUGUUAUCACUACAACAUUUACUAUUGAUAACUAUUAGAAUGUGGAAGAGGAGUAUUUGAUAGUAAUUCUGAAACUGGGGACUCUGCCUUAGUGAAUAUAGACUAUAUGACAUACCUGGGACUUGCCCAGCCGAAUAUCAGAUCUCUGACAGAUUUGGGACCCUGCUUGAGGAAACACAUUUUUGAAAUAGCUUGUGUCUGCACUCGAAAGACGUUGUUUUCUUAGAGAACAGCUAUCUGUCCCAAGUAAACAUGGUGUCUCUGAGAAACUUAAAACUUCCUCAGAAAGAUAAUAUUUGCAUUUCUGUCCUUGAUAUUCUUCUAUUUUUUUUUUGUUUUUUUUUUUCAUUCUUUGUCUCUCCUUCCUUCUUUCACUAUUCUUUUCAGGAAUAUUUCUAAAAUUUUCAGUGAAGCAGUUGAAAAACACAGUUUUGUGGUUGUGUUAAUAAUAAAUUGCACUAGAAAUUUUAGAAUUUCCCGCUGCUUAAAUGUGUAAAAAUGAUUUUUUUUUUUUAAAAAAAAAGGAAAAAAAGCUAGUAAUAUCUGCUCAAUCUUUUGUUUUAUUUUUUAAAUGAAAACAAAAAUCAAACAAAAAUAAAAUCAUGUAAAUUUUCUCUUUUCUUUUUCAUUCAACUACCCAAGAGUACAUAUUCUUUUGCUUCCCGAUUAUUGACUGAAGAUAUGUUGCUUGACAUAACAUUAGAAGUUAUAGAUAUACAAACUUGUUUCUUUCACAUUUUUUUUUCAUUUUUAUUUUUUUAAUCUGCUACAUUCAAAUUCAAUCUGAUCCAAAGAGCUUUGGCUGUUGUUCUUAAAAUUAAGGUUAAAUUGUCAUGUGGUUUUGUAUGUUUAAAUUAUAUAAGAUAAACACUUUAUUGUUACAUGGGACCAAAUCAUAUAGUAACUUUGUUUUCAUUUUAGUUGAAAUAAUAUAAAGGCUUCAGUUUCUUUUAUCAUUUAUUUCAUUCAUACAAUUAGUGUUGAAUGGCCAAUAGGUGUAAUAAGAUCAAUGAUGAUCAUAAAUUAUGUUGAAAUGAUAAUUACAAAAUAUUAAAUCCCAAUGAUGCAUUUGCUAGUAGGUCUUCUUCACCUGUCACUUCUUCCCUCUUUGUUGAAAUUGAUGUACAUUUUCAGCUGUUUACUCUCAAGGUUCUUGUAAGUGUCAUCAUGUAUUUCUUAAGAUUUUUCGUUUGGAACUGAAAUAUAUUUCCCAAAAUAUUCACAUGUGUGAGAAUGUAUAUUUAUGGACAGAUAUACUAAGAACAACUCUUUGAAAGAAAAACAUCCUAAAAUUUCUACUGAAUAUUUGGAAUAUCUUGAAUGAGUCAUAAAGGCAACAGAUGGAAAGUUUUUCUUCUAAGAUUCUUUCAAACAAGAUUUUCAAAGCUAAAUGUGUGCACGAUUUUAGUUUUCUGAUGCAACAGGAUGAAAAUGAAGAUAUUGUACAAAAUAGUGAGUGCCUGCAGCUUAUUAAUUUUGUUUUAAUUUUUUGCAAACUACAAUGUUUUUUUUUUAUUUAUUUAUUCAUUUAUUUCGCUUUAAUCAAGAUCUUAUAGUAUAUUUUGCCAUUUUGUUUUAAUCUUAUGAAAAUAAAAUUUGGUCUUAAUUAUGAUGUCAACAAAAAUCAGAAUGUUUGUCACAGCUCUCUUUAUUUUUAAUUUUUUAAAUCUAUAUUAUUGACAAUGAUGAUGAUGAAAAUGAUGAUGAUGAUGAUGAUGAUGAUGUUCUGAGCUAAAUAUAUUGAUGUUGCCACAUGACGCAUAAAUAGCAAUAAAUCAUAUUAUUAUGGAGUAAUAAAACUUAUUCUUCUUGUACUCUUUAUCAAUAUUUUCUGCCUCACAGAUACAUACACACAUAUACAACCACACACAUACAUCACUCACAUAUGCAUGAACAUCCAAAAUACAUACUAAAUGCAAAGGGAUCUAGAAACAGGCAUUGUUUUGCCUAACAUAUAACAAGGCUCAAAAUAGCAACAAGUUUGCAAAUAUGUAUUGCUGUUCUUUGCACUAGUACCACCAAUAGUAAUCCUAGUCUGUCCCUUUUCAGAUUGUUUCUCAAACUGUUUUAUGUGUUUUCACUUUGCCAGUAUGUAACCACACACAACUUCUCUACAAUUCUUCAAUAGCUGAUCUUUUAGUGCAGCAUAAAAUCAAAGAAAAAUGUGCUAUUAUCAAUAGGGGAGUUUUGGGCAAUUAUUCUUUGAAAUUGAGAUAAUGGUUACAAUUAAAAUAUUCUAAAUAGUAAUAAUAUCGGGAUUUAAGGGCCAAAAUAGUUGAUACUAAAAAUAUUUUUCACGCUUACAUCAUUAUCUGUGUAUAGCUGUAGGUUUAAACUUUUCUCUCAUUAGAGAUAUACUGAAAUAUACUGCUGCAGAAGAAAUAUAAUAUUUAUGGAUAACCUUUAUUAUUAUUAUUUUGAUGCCUACCAAUUUAAUUGGAUCACUUACAGUCUUCAACUGAGUGUUUGUCAGGUGUAAAUUUCCUCUAUAAAAGCAUGCUAUGAAUAAUACCACAAGCUAAUUAUUGCAGUUAAUUUACAUUCCUCUAAACAUGCUUUACAAAUAAAUCAGAAAGGGGAAGCAUUAUUUAUUGACUCCACCCCCAUCUAAAGAGAUGUUCCUGUUAAAUAGACAUUAAGGGUGACAUUCAACCAAUGAUCUCUGAAAUCUUGUUGCAGCAACUCUUUUAUUUAUGCUAUUUUUUUAAACUUAAAAACUGAGCUAAUAGAAUAAAAUAAUCAGCUAUUUCUUUGUUUGUAUAGCACAUGUGAAAUAAAUUUAGAUUUAAUUUCUUAUUGUUUCAAAUAAAAGAUUUUUCUUUAUAUUUUUUGUUGUUUUAUCUGAAAAGAAGACCAAAUUAUAAAGAAAAUAUGAGCAUUCAAACAAAAUUGUUAUUAUUAACAAGUACAAAUUUUUUCUUGCUCUUUAUACUAGAGAUUUUUUGAAAGUCUGCAUAGGGUUCUAACUACCAACUGAUGAGUCCGUGGUUCAUAUCCAGCUAUCUGUUUCAAGACGUGUCAGUAUUCAAGGUUCUGAACUCUUAACAGCUGUACAGACUUUGUUGCCCAGAAGAUGCAUGCAAGAAAGUUGUAUACUUUUGUCAUAGUGCUACAAAAAUUGACAGGUGUUUCUUAGUUUGCAGUAUUGACCCUGUAUAGGUUGCUAUAGCACAUGCGCUGGCUGACGUAAACAGCCUUCAGUCACAUUUCUAUAACACAAGCACCAAAUGGGAAUCACGACAUAUGAACAAAUUACCAUUUUGUCUCCAAAGUGUUCUUGAUAAAAUAUAUACCAAAAUGAUGUAUCAACAUUCUGAAACCAGAGUAUCCUACAACUUUACAGAAAUUUAUUCCUUUACUGAAUGAGAAUUUAAACGAAAUUAAACAGGAUACCCAUUCAGGUGAAAGUAAUAUUCGAUGAAUUCAUAACAAUUUCACAGGAAUUUUAUAAGUGUUUGGGCACCAAGUUUGCAAAAACCUUGAACACUAGACAAAUACAGAUUAGACCCUCUACUUUUGCAUUCCAUGUUAAAAUAAUUUUAAUGCAAAUUUCUGGGAUUGUCUUCCCUCGCCUUUGGGUUUCUUGUUUUUGUUUAUAUUUUAUAUCAAAGUUAGUCAUUUAGAAAAAGAUUGCUCUCACAAUUGAGGACUACCUUUAUUACCUUCAUUAAAAUUUCUUCGAUUCCUACAUCAAUAAACCCUUUACCAUUAAGUUUUCUUGUCAUAGGCAUCCCAGAAUAUUUCAUAUGAUUAUUCUAAUACAGUAUUUAACCUCACACCAUAACAUUCUCAGUUCAAAUUGCUCCAAAAUCAAUGUUGUCUUCUAUCAGUUCAAAAUCAAUAAAAUCAGAGCCAGAAAUAUACUGCAGAUUGAUUCUACCUUCAGCUUAUAUCAGAAAUCAUUAUUUUAAGAGAGCAUCAAAUGUAGAUUAUUUUUAGAAUAGCUGAAGGAUGCGUGUGAUAUUUGACAAUUGGAAGUGUAAAUGUGUUUAUACUUUGUAAGCAGGGUGUUUGUUUUGGUAUACAAAGCAAAUGACAAAAAAAAUAGUAAAAUGUUAAUCUUGCAGAUGGCAUCCCCUUUGUCUUUGUAUUGCUGUAUUUAUUCACUAGAGUAUAUAGAAUAUACAAAUAUUGUCAGAUGGCUAAAUAUGUCAGUGUUAAUAUUAGAGACGUUGGUUCGAUUUUCACCAGUCUCUUGUUUAUUCUCUUUUCUGUCAGCUGAAUAAACACUCUUUUCUCUU